CAUGACAUGACAAAACGAACUUACAAACUACAUCUCAAAUCAAAAGAUUCGAAUUUUUUGUGAUCUUGAUAAAAAUACCAAUUUUUUUAACAUCAUGCCCUUCGCUCCUGAAUUAAGAACCCAUUCUCAAAAAGUAUGUAGUCUGUAUAAAGCAGCUUGCAGACUUAUCGAAUCUUAUUAUGUUGCAAAGUAUUGUAUACGAUACCAUCAAGUAAUACUACGCAACGAAUUUGAUAAAAAUAAGUGCGUAUGUGAUCCUCAAGAACAACGUCGUUUGCUUUGGUCUGGUGAAAGUGAGGUUUUUAUGCACAAAAAUCCUAUUCCAAGCGCUAAGUUCCCAAAAUCGUUAGGACUAGCUGCUGGAGUUGCGCAUGGGCGCGUUGUCGAGCCACCGGAUUGGGUACUAGACUAUUGGCAUCCACUUGAGAAAGCGCAAUACCCUGAAUACUUCAGAAAGCGUGAAUGCAGAAAAUGCGAAUAUAUUAGGAAAUGGAAUAGUGGCACUUUGUAUUAAAAUGCUAUUGUGAUUUAUUGAAUAAAAUUUAUCGUGUUCUAUGUU